AUGGUGUCCUUUCAGUAUGAAUUACAAAGCCCAGAUGUACAGAGACCUACACUGACCUCCUUCUCUCAGCUUCCCUUUGUAGACACACAGGUUCUCUCCUCCACAGUGUUGCUGGAAGACCUUCACUUCAUCUCUGAGGUCCAUCAGAUCAUGGGACAGGCAUGAUGGACUUGUGAUGUAAACACAGGCCUGACCAGACUGAUGGAAUGAUUCAGUGAUUCUCAAGGCUUCCAGUGCCAAGGAUUUCAGCUUGAGGUGAACACUACAUCUGUGUAAAGUGUAGUCUUGGAAAGGCUCGACUGUUUGUCUGCCUGGCUUUUUCCGAUACAGAUUUGAUUUCCCUUGGCGUUUGUAAAGAAGACAACACAACCUUUUCACCAAUCCACAGGCCAAGUAGAUACCAUUACCAGUGUCUGGUUUCUAUUGGAAUUGAGUGUGGAUGGAUAGCACACUUAACCCAUGGCCCCCUCUGAAUUUACUUCUCUCUCUAAAAUUGUUCAGAAAUAAAACAUAAUGCCUGUGGAAGACAGUCUAAACAUUACACUUUGGCUAAAUAUAAUUCAUUUUUGUCUUAAUUAGCAAUUAAGACAUAGAAUUAAUAUGACAAAUAAACAACAUUCCUUUGAUAUACAAUAAACGAGUCAUGUCUGAACAAUAUAGCCUGUCUAUCAAGGAGUGCUUGAUCUUUUCUGUUGUUUCAUCUCCUCAGUAACAAUAGCUUUUUGGACAUAGUGUCAUGUCAUAAAAAUAAAGCCGAAAACUCAUAAUUAGUAUGCAUAUUUAUUAUGUCAAAGACAUGACAGUAGUUAGAGAACAUUUUACCUACAUUACAGUCAACACUGCUACUUGGUCUAGUUUAGUUACUCACCCUGGGUUUAGAUGACUCAUUUUGCCGGUGCGCAAUGAUCUUUGAUAUGAAUCAAGCGAUAAUACGAGAGCUUUCUCUAAUCCAGAGGACAAUAAAACUAUGUGUGCAUCUGUCUGCCCUGCUCUGACUACCCAACACCUUUCUCGCGCUGAACUGAUGACAGCCAGUGUUGCCAUGGUGAAUCACGUGACCAUGCCCAUAAGACUCGCCAUUCUUUGUGCUUAAUUAAAAUGUUACAUUGUAAUAAUUAUAUAAUUAUAAUCUUAUGGUCGAUUUAUUUUUUAUUUUUGUUCACAUAUCCUUCAUGUAAAUAAAAAUACAGGGCUAAUUAGAUUGAAAUAUAAAAGUUGAAUAGUUGGGGGGAAUCAUGUAUUGUCUAACAUAUCACUUAUGUCAAAUGUAAUGGUUUUGAAGAUUGUUUAGACCCAAACUGAAUUUGGUUUAUUUCGUGGAUAUUAUUGGAGGUAAGGUUACAAUAAGCCUUAAAGCUGUACAUUAACGUCCUCUAGUGUUUUCACUGGGGAUUUUCGAGAGGGGGUUCAGCGAAAAAUCGGCAGCUG
rnacentral:lncRNA from 1 species